UUACCUUCCUAUCCCAGUGCAUAUCAUAGUUCUUGGCACUCAGUAAAUGCUAGUUGAAUAAAUAAGUGAAUGAAUGCAGAACAGGGGUUAAAUUAGGGAACAACAUUACAGCAAACUGUUGGGAGGUGGCUGGAGAUCAUAUCCAGAGUGGGGCUGGAGGUUCUGACAAUGAUUACCUGAUCUUAAACUUGCAUAUCCCAGGAUUUAAACCACCAACAUCUAUGACUGGAGCCACGGGUUCUGAACUAGGAAGAAUAACAUUUGUCUUUGAGACCCUCUGUUCAGCUGACUGUGUUUUGUACUUCAUGGUGGAUAUUAAUAGAAAAAGUACGAAUGUGGUAGAAUCAUGGGGUGGAACCAAAGAAAAACAAGCUUACACCCAUAUCAUCUUCAAGAAUGCAACUUUUACAUUUACAUGGGCAUUCCAGAGAACUAAUCAGGGUCAAGAUAAUAGACGGUUCAUCAAUGACAUGGUGAAGAUUUAUUCUAUCACAGCCACUAAUGCAGUUGAUGGGGUGGCGUCCUCAUGCCGUGCCUGUGCCCUCGGUUCUGAACAGUCGGGUUCAUCGUGUGUCCCCUGCCCUCCAGGCCACUACAUUGAGAAAGAAACCAACCAGUGCAAGGAAUGUCCACCUGAC
rnacentral:sRNA from 1 species